rnacentral:lncRNA from 1 species
GGUAAUUUAUUAUACAUGGUCACUAUCCCGUCUCUCGUUGUUCUGUAUGGUCCAAGUAAAUGAGGCUUUUCCUGCAUUGGUGAUUUAUUCAUUUUUGAGUUCCAUCAUUCGCAUGUCUAUAAAAAGAUCCAGUGUAGAAAACUAAGCGUGUUGAGGUUUAAUUCAUAUAAGAGUGUGUCGGAAUGGAAAUAUGAAAAUGUGUAUGUAUGAACAAGCUCAGAUCCAUUUCUCAUGUUUAUAAUUUUUUAAUCAUGGGUAAAGAUCAAAUGCUACCAUGCAGCACCACAGUUGGGUAGUUUUUGACAUCUUCAGAUACAAUAUGCAAGCGAAUAUGACAUUUCCCGUGCGAGAUCAAAUGACUUGAGCAUUACUUUGGUUCAACUGUCCCUCUCAUCAAGUAUUAUGUUUGCGAGAUGAACAAGACUUUCAUGACUCCUGGACAGAGGAUGGUAUGGAUCUUAAAAACCCUACUUCUCACAAGUAGAGAAUCGUAGUACCCAAAUAUGACCAAUUAAUGUUUCUUUUCCAGUGCUUCUCCUGUCGCUUCACGAAGCUAUAUCUAAAGGACCAUCUCAAUGAACCGGUCGAGGACAUGAUGGUGAAACUCAACACUUGAGGUGUCACAAGACAGGUCCGUAUAAUAAUGGACACGAACAAGAGGGCCAUGAUAACAAACAAUUUGUAACUUUGUCAAAGCAGCAGGGGUCAUAGAGUUUCAGAGAUGAGUCUUUGCCUUUCAGAUUAAAAGGGGGGAACUAACGCUUACCGUCCAUAAGCUUUAAAAUGCUAAGAUACAAAAUCGCAUGUGCACUGUCUGUACAGAAAUCAUUAUAUACAGUUUAUCUCACAAGUUGUUUGCAUCAGGUUCAUGUGAAGUGCCACCUAUGAGGUUGAUCGAUAAGGCAGUUGAAUGAAGUCACUUAUUAGUAUGCUUAAUAGCUAUGGUUUCGUAGUCGUUUCUCCUUUAUUAUGUUCUCCUUUUAUUAUUUUCCCUCCUAUAUUUACGCUUUUGGUUUCGAACAUAAUGCCGGGUGGUUAUGUUUUGUGGUCUUAUGAGCACUGAACUCGAUGUUGCCUUAUAAUCUUACUCGAUGUUGCCUUAUAAUCUUAAGCUGAUAUCGAACUGCA